CACGGAGCUGCAUUGUUGUUAAGAACACAUCAAUGAGCUACAGUGUUGCACUGGCUGACAUGUUCCUUGAUUAUGAACACACACACACACACACACACACACACACACACACACACACACACACACACACACUGUUCAUUCGGACUCCAUCCCACACACACACCGUCCUGCUGCCGCAAAUACUCACCAAAUACUCACCAGAGCACCAAAUGGGGAUUAAUCCGCCGCUGAAAAUAGUCCCCAACAAAGUCACUUUUUCCUGCCGUUUGUUGGAUAAAAACUACAGUCAGCAGCUG